rnacentral:rRNA from 1 species
AAUGAACGUUGGCGGCGUGGAUUAGGCAUGCAAGUCGAGCGCGAACCCCGCAAGGGGUGAAAGCGGCGAAAGGGAGAGUAACGCGUGGGUAUCUGCCCUCGGGACUGGGAUAGCUGCGGGAAACUGCAGGUAAUACCAGAUGACGUCCCCGGACCAAAGGUGUGAUUCCGCCUGAGGAUGAGCCCGCGUCCUAUUAGCUAGUUGGUAGGGUAAUGGCCUACCAAGGCAAUGAUGGGUACUGGGUGUGAGAGCACGACCCAGCUCACUGGGACUGAGACACUGCCCAGACACCUACGGGUGGCUGCAGUCGAGAAUCUUCGGCAAUGGGCGAAAGCCUGACCGAGCGACGCCGCGUGUGGGAUGAAGGCCUUCGGGUUGUAAACCGCUGUCAGAGGGGAGGAAUGGGCGGAGGGUAAUCUCUUCGUUUUGACCUAUCCUCAGAGGAAGUACGGGCUAAGUUCGUGCCAGCCGCCGCCGUAA